AGAAUCAACGCUGGCGGCGUGCCUAACACAUGCAAGUCGAACGAGAAAGUGGAGCAAUCCAUGAGUAAAGUGGCGACCGGGUGAGUAACACGUGACUAACCUACCUUCGAGUGGGGGAUAACCUCGGGAAACCGAGGCUAAUACCGCAUAACAUCGCAAGAUCAAAGCAGCAAUGCGCUGGAAGAGGGGGUCGCGGCUGAUUAGCUAGUUGACGGGGUAACGGCCCACCAAGGCGAAGAUCGGUA
rnacentral:rRNA from 1 species